rnacentral:rRNA from 1 species
CCUACGGGUGGCUGCAGUAGGGAAUAUUGCGCAAUGGAGGAAACUCUGACGCAGCGACGCCGCGUGGGUGAUGAAGGCUUUCGGGUCGUAAAACCCUGUCGGAAGGGACGAAACACGUUGUGGCUAAUAUCCACGACGAUUGACGGUACCUUAAGAGGAAGCACCGGCUAACUACGUGCCAGCAGCCGCGGUAAUACGUAGGGUGCUAGCGUUGUUCGGAAUCAUUGGGCGUAAAGCGCGUGUAGGCUGUUAUCUAAGUCGGGUGUGAAAUCCCU